rnacentral:lncRNA from 1 species
CCUGCACGUUAUGAUGUGUGAGUGGACAAGUGCCAGGGACCGUCAGGCUCUAACUUGCCAGAAACAUGGAAGAAGAGUCAUAACAGAAGAGAUUCUCAUUAUAUUAAGACACCUACGUGCUCUGAGGAUGGGGAAUCCCAGCUGCAAAAGAGUCAGAGGAGGACCCGCAUCUCAACACAGCCAGCAACAUGCAGACUAAUGCACCCAGUGAUAUCCAGGUCCUGCCGAUGCCCCAGGUGGGUCACUAAGGAAAGGGCUCGUGCAAAAUUCCAAGGACUUAAAGCAUGAAGAGAUUCAAUACAGAAAAGAGGUAUGGAUAAUAGCUGCAAUACAGUUGCAGUCGGUAUGGAUUUCCUCGUAACAGCCAGUACCAAUAAUCCUCUGGCAGUGGUAGACACUGAGUUGCAAUACAGAGCCAAACCUGAAGAGCAAGUGUGUGGGUCCCCAUCACCCUGCAGCUCCCGGUGAGGUUGGCAGGUGCUCAGAGGGGCAGGCCUCACCAGGGCGCUGUGCAGAAGCCAUUUCCUGUUUUCACAACAUGAAGUGUAUGUUUGCCCUGCUCAACACCAUAUUAGCGUCUUUAUCUGGUCUUUGAUUUCUCCUAGGUUUCAUAAAUCUCAGCUAGCCCCAUCCCUCACUGUUUAAUGUAAGCAGUGGAUAAAAAGCAUAUGUAACUUUUUCAAUAAGAUUUCUGGCUUCACCCUUUUAACCCAAAGAAUAACUAUAAAUAGUUUAUAAUGUCUGGGAUUUCCACAGCCUAAGUGCAGCUAUAAAUAGUUCUAAACAUUUUCCCACUUCAUGCUUUUGAAAAGAACAUUCUCCACUUCCUUUCUUGGAGAACCCUUGGGAAUAAUGCUAGAUCACAGCUCAGAAAAUAUGUAUAUUAGGAGAGUUUAGCAAAGCAUAGCUAACAAAGUUGCUAACAGCAGCUCUCAAAUUAAUUUCACAUAAGGAAAGGGUCAUGCGUCUUUUGUAACAAGUUCAUAUUCAUAAUUCACCCCAGGACACUUAAAAAUCAGCCAUUUGUGGUAUGUCUGUAUUCACUUAGCCCAUGAGGGUAUUUUAGGGGUUGUUUGUUUUUGCAAGGAAUUCGUUGUUCUCCAGCCUCGCAAGCGAUGGCAGGAUUUAUUUGUAUUUACUUGAAGUACGUGUGUGUCCAGCAUCUGGUAUUUCAAGCACUACAGCAGAACACGUCCUUU